CUGUGUGCAGUGCCCUACCUAGAAAGGUGGUCAAUACAUAGACUUAACUAGUAGUGACUGCCAGCCUGGGUAGAGUACAGCUCACCAG
rfam:Ailuropoda melanoleuca scaffold2028_47, whole genome shotgun sequence.